rnacentral:rRNA from 1 species
UACGUAGGGGGCGAGCGUUGUCCGGAAUGAUUGGGCGUAAAAGGGCGUGUAGGCGGCCUGGUAAGUCCGGAGUGAAAGUCCUGCUUUCAAGGUGGGAAUUGCUUUGGAUACUGUCGGGCUAGAGUGCAGGAGAGGUUAUCGGAGUUUCCGGUGUAGCGGUGAAAUGCGUAGAGAUCGGGAGGAACACCAGUGGCGAAGGCGGGUAACUGGACUGCAACUGACGCUGAGGCGCGAAAGUGUGGGGAGCAAA